AAACUUUAUUGGUCCUAAACCUAAUCAAACAAACUUUCUACAGGGAAUAGCAAGGUUGGACGUGUUAUAUUAGCUGCUGCUGCUAAGCAUCUUACACCUGUGAUUUUGGAGCUUGGUGGGAAAUGUCCAGUAAUCGUUGAUUCAAACAUCAACUUAACAGUUGCGGCAAGAAGAAUAAUCUCAGGCAAGUGGGGAUGCAACAGUGGACAAACCUGUGUUUCACCUGAUUAUAUAAUAACUACAAAGGACUAUGCAUCAAAAUUUGUUGAUGCUCUUUCAUCUGAACUAGAAAAAUUCUAUGGAAAGGAUCCUGUGAAUUCAAAGGACUUGUCAAAAAUUAUAAAUUCCCGACAUUUUGAACGUCUAACAAAGCUUUUGGAUGAAGAGAAGGUUUCCAGUAAAAUAGUUAUUGGUGGUCAACGGGAUAAAGCCAAUCUCAAGAUCACUCCCACUGUUAUACUGGAUGCCCCACAAGAUUCUCUGAUCUUGAAUGAGGAGAUUUUUGGUCCUUUACUUCCCAUUAUCACGUAGUUGGAUAAUGAAUUCAUCUUUUUUCUAUGGAGAUUUGUAUAUUUCUCAACCCCAACCGGACUCAGCUUCAGGAGGUACUCUUCACUCUGCCGUCGCGAGCAGAUUAACAUUUAUAUAGUUGAAGGACAAGAUACAAGAUUAUAGAGCUUAUAGAGAGGUGCUGGUUUUAGAAGGCAACGGAAGCCCUAGUUUUUUUUUUUUUUUUAGUUGGGCUCAAAACAUUAUGUAUGAAUGUUUUGUGAUAUAUAUAAUAUAUGUUAUUGAUGGUUUUAUCAUUUUGUUGUUUUAA